rnacentral:rRNA from 1 species
CCUACGGGUGGCUGCAGUAGGGAAUAUUGGGCAAUGGGCGGAAGCCUGACCCAGCCAUGCCGCGUGAGGGAUGAAGGUUCAUAGAAUCGUAAACCUCUUUUAAUUGGGACUAAGGGGCUUGUAACUCAAGUUUUUGAAGGUACCAAAGGAAUAAGGACCGGCUAACUACGUGCCAGCAGCCGCGGUAAUACGUAGGGUCCAAGCGUUGUCCGGAUUUACUGGGUUUAAAGGGUGCGUAGGCGGUUUGAUAAGUCGGUGAUGAAAUGACGGGGCUU